AGAGUUUGAUCCUGGCUCAGGACGAACGCUGGCGGCGUGCUUAACACAUGCAAGUCGAGCGAGGCCCGUCCUUCGGGACGGUGCCCUAGCGGCGAACGGGUGAGUAACACGUGGGCAACCUGCCCCUAGCACUGGGAUAACUCCGGGAAACCGGGGCUAAUACCGGAUACGACCUCGGAAGGCAUCUUCUGAGGUGGAAAGGUUUUCUGGCUAGGGAUGGGCCCGCGGCCUAUCAGCUUGUUGGUGGGGUAACGGCCUACCAAGGCAGCGACGGGUAGCCGGCCUGAGAGGGCGACCGGCCACACUGGGACUGAGACACGGCCCAGACUCCUACGGGAGGCAGCAGUGGGGAAUAUUGCACAAUGGGCGAAAGCCUGAUGCAGCGACGCCGCGUGAGGGAUGACGGCCUUCGGGUUGUAAACCUCUUUCAGCUCCGACGAAGCGAAAGUGACGGUAGGAGCAGAAGAAGCACCGGCCAACUACGUGCCAGCAGCCGCGGUAAUACGUAGGGUGCAAGCGUUGUCCGGAAUUAUUGGGCGUAAAGAGCUCGUAGGCGGCCUGUCGCGUCGGCUGUGAAAACCUGGGGCUCAACCCCGGGCCUGCAGCCGAUACGGGCAGGCUAGAAUUCGGUAGGGGAGACUGGAAUUCCUGGUGUAGCGGUGAAAUGCGCAGAUAUCAGGAGGAACACCGGUGGCGAAGGCGGGUCUCUGGGCCGAUAUUGACGCUGAGGAGCGAAAGCGUGGGGAGCGAACAGGAUUAGAUACCCUGGUAGUCCACGCCGUAAACGUUGGGCGCUAGGUGUGGGCUCCAUUCCACGGAGUCUGUGCCGCAGCUAACGCAUUAAGCGCCCCGCCUGGGGAGUACGGCCGCAAGGCUAAAACUCAAAGGAAUUGACGG
rnacentral:rRNA from 1 species